rnacentral:rRNA from 1 species
UACGUAGGGGGCGAGCGUUGUUCGGAAUUACUGGGCGUAAAGGGCUCGUAGGCGGCCAACUAAGUCAUACGUGAAAUCCCUCAGCUUAACUGGGGAACUGCGUGUGAUACUGGAUGGCUUGGAUUUGGGAGAGGGAUGCGGAAUUCCAGGUGUAGCGGUGAAAUGCGUAGAUAUCUGGAGGAACACCGGUGGCGAAGGCGGCAUCCUGGACCAAUAUUGACGCUGAGGAGCGAAAGCCAGGGGAGCAAACGGG